AUCCCUUUGUAGUUCAUGAGCAGGAAGAUUGGGUGUUUACACGCUUGUGUGACAUGUGCCUCCCUCAAAUCUUUACGACUGUCGGCACAUUACCCGUCUGAAG
ensembl:snoRNA